rnacentral:miRNA from 12 species
CAUCAGUUAAGUGGUUCAUUUUUGCAUAUACAUGGGUAUAUGCAUAUACAUGCAUACAAAUACAUGCAUAUGUGUAUUCACAAACGUAUGUAUGUGU